rnacentral:rRNA from 1 species
UACGUAGGGCGCGAGCGUUGUCCGGAAUUAUUGGGCGUAAAGAGCUCGUAGGCGGUGUGUCACGUCGGCCGUGAAAACCUGGGGCUUAACUCUGGGCGUGCGGUCGAUACGGGCAUCACUAGAGUUCGGCAGGGGAGACUGGAAUUCCUGGUGUAGCGGUGAAAUGCGCAGAUAUCAGGAGGAGCACCGGUGGCGAAGGCGGGUCUCUGGGCCGAUACUGACGCUGAGGAGCGAAAGCAUGGGUAGCGAACAGG